rnacentral:rRNA from 1 species
GGAUUAGAUACCCGGGUAGUCCACGCUGUAAACGAUGAUUACUAGGUGUGGGGGGUUUAACCCCCUCCGUGCCGGAGUUAACACAAUAAGUAAUCCACCUGGGGAGUACGAUCGCAAGGUUGAAACUCAAAGGAAUUGACGGGGGCCCGCACAAGCAGUGGAUUAUGUGGUUUAAUUCGAAGCAACGCGAAGAACCUUACCAGGUCUUGACAUCCCCUGAAUAACCUAGAGAUAGGUGAAGCCUUUCGGGGCAGGGAGACAGGUGGUGCAUGGUUGUCGUCAGCUCGUGUCGUGAGAUGUUGGGUUAAGUCCCGCAACGAGCGCAACCCUUACUAUUAGUUGCUACGCAAGAGCACUCUAAUGGGACUGCCGUGGACAACACGGAGGAAGGUGG